CCGCGGGUUUGGGUGCUGCAGCCGUCCGCAGAGGGUCUAGGAUCCAUGGCAGCGGACGGAGGCGGCGCACGCCUUCAGCCCUUGAGCCAUGUCUAUAUCACAUGUUCUUGGUAAGAACGGCGUCGCUUGCUUGCUUGUGGAGAUGAACCUAAGAGCAAUUAUGAGAGAUGGAGAUGCGUGAGGGUCUGAAGGAGCCAAGCCACUGGCUGCUGUGCAUGUCAAUUUGGGAGAGCAGAUGAACGGUCGAUCUGUUCAUUUCCGCAAGCAAGAAAUUCACCAACUGCUCCCUUGAAAUUAAAUUCACCGAAGCCUCAUCCAUAUCCCCACACAGCCAUGCCAUUUCUCACCCCAAAUCUGUCCAGCACAAGCACGUAGCUCUCUUUAGCUCCAAUCAUCAACCAAGGAGCAAUUGUUGCUCCAAUUUCAGCAGCUAGCGCUGCAUCUCACCAAAUCCUCCAAAUCCAAACAAGCAAGCUGUAGCAAGCACAUGGCAACUGGAGGCAUUCGCCGUGGGCAUGGCCCCCUGCAGCUUGCACCUGCUCCUCACACAGUCGCAACAACAGCAUGGGCAUGAGGAGCCGUUCCCUCGGGUGAGCGCCUGGAGCUCCGACGAGGUAACAGCGGUAGGAGCGGGUGCAGAGGUAGCUACCUCCGGGGACAGACAGUAAAGGGGGCGUGGUGUGAACGACACGGCAGGAGGAGUCGAGGUGGGUUGGAAAAGAUUUGGCAGCAGCGAAGGCCGUGGAUGCCAUGGACCGUUUUGGUCGGCGAAGGUGUCGCACACUAGUCCUCUGCCGCGCGCCGCGCGUGAGAGACGGUGGCGGCGGUGGUGC
rnacentral:lncRNA from 1 species